CAACUACUCACUCUGUCCCAAAUUUCUUGUCUUAGAUUUUUCCAGAUACGGAUGUAUCUAAUACUAAAAUGUGACUUGAUACAUCUGUAUCUAGACAAAUCUAAGACAAGAAUUUUGGGACGGAGGGAGUACUUU
rnacentral:pre_miRNA from 1 species